rnacentral:lncRNA from 1 species
AUGGAAAUUGGUGAUGAAGAAAGAAACCACCAGAAUAUUGAAGAAGAUGUUGAGGAUAAGGAAGUACAUGAAGAGGCUGUAGCUUCUGUUGAGGACCAGUCUGAUCUUCGAGAUCCCUGUAGUCAGAGAGAUUUGCAGUGUUCACUAGUAGAUUGGGCAAUUGAAUUUGGAAUUUCAUUAAUUGCUUUGUCAGCACUUCUUACCAUUCUCAAAGUCCAUCAUUCCUCUCUGCCUAAGGAUGGAAGAACGUUGCUGAAAACAAAAACAAGAUACAACAUUAGCAGUAUAGCUGGUGGUGUGUUCCAUUAUUGUGGAAUUCUGAAUUCUAUUAGGAAAAUCCAUGAUAACGUUUGGCAUAGUGUGGCAGACAAACAUGUGUUCAAACUACAGUUGAAUUUUGAUGGACUACCACUCUUCAAGAGUACUAGUACACAGUUUUGGCCAAUUCUUGGUUUGCUGCAAGGUCACACUAAGGCACCAGUGUUGAUUGGACUCUUUUGUGGUACUUCAAAGCCAAAUUCUUUGGCUGAUUAUCUUCAUGAUCUGGUUCACGAGCUAAAAAUGUUGAGGGAUGGGUUUCUGUUCAAGCAGAAAACAUUCAUUUUGAAUGUUGUUUCUGUUAUGUGUGAUACCCCUGCCCGAGCCUUCAUCAGAGGUGUGAAGUCACACACUGCAUAUCAUGGAUGUGACAAGUUUCAUCAAACAGGUGUCUGGAAAUCAAAUCGAAUGACAUUUCCUGAGGUGAAAGCAAAGCGCAGAACUGAUGAGAGUUUUAGGCAAGCAACUGAUGAAGAACACCACAUUCAGCACUCACCUCUUACAGACAUUGGCAUUGACAUGGUCACUUGUUUCCCUCACGAUUACAUGCACUUGAUUUGUCUGGGUGUAAUGCGGCGUCUUUUAGACUUGUGGAUCAGCACCAUCGGCCCCUUGCACUGUCGCAUAUCAUCCAUUCAAGCUUCCAUGGUGUCAGAUAGACUUCUUGCACUGAGAAGUUACAUUCCAAGUGAGUUUGCUCGAAGGCCUCAGGCACUGGCAGAUCGAUGUAGGUGGAAAGCAACAGAGCUACGCCAAUUUUUGUUAUACACUGGUCCAGUUGUGCUGAAUGGUGUUUUACAGCCUCAAAUCUAUGACAACUUUAUGUUUUGGCUGUAG